CAAUAGCGUAUAUUAAAGUUGUUGCAGUUAAAAAGCUCGUAGUUGGAUUUGUGGCGUACGGUGUGUUCCGGGCACUUGUUGUCUGAGUAACCUGCUGUUGCCAUCCUUGGGUGGAACCUGUGUGGCAUUAGGUUGUCGUGCAGGGGAUGCCCAUCAUUUACUGUGAAAAAAUUAGAGUGUUCAAAGCAGGCUUAUGCCGUUGAAUAUAUUAGCAUGGAAUAAUGAGAUAGGACUUUUUUGCUAUUUUGUUGGUUUGCGCAAAGAGGUAAUGAUUAAUAGGGACAGUUGGGGGUAUUCGUAUUCCAUUGUCAGAGGUGAAAUUCUUGGAUUUUUGGAAGACGAACUACUGCGAAAGCAUUUACCAAGGAUGUUUNCAUUA
rnacentral:rRNA from 1 species